rnacentral:rRNA from 1 species
UCCUUCGGGAUUAGUGGCGGACGGGUGAGUAACACGUGGGAACGUGCCCUUUGGUUCGGAACAACUCAGGGAAACUUGAGCUAAUACCGGAUGUGCCCUUCGGGGGAAAGAUUUAUCGCCAUUGGAGCGGCCCGCGUCUGAUUAGCUAGUUGGUGGGGUAAAGGCCUACCAAGGCUACGAUCAGUAGCUGGUCUGAGAGGAUGAUCAGCCACACUGGGACUGAGACACGGCCCAG